rnacentral:rRNA from 1 species
GUCAGCUCGUGUCGUGAGAUGUUGGGUUAAGUCCCGCAACGAGCGCAACCCUUGACUUUAGUUGCCAGCAGGUAAAGCUGGGCACUCUAGAGUGACUGCCGGUGACAAACCGGAGGAAGGUGGGGAUGACGUCAAAUCAUCAUGCCCCUUAUGACCUGGGCUACACACGUACUACAAUGGCCGGUACAACGGGAAGCGAAGCCGCGAGGUGGAGCCAAUCCCAGCAAAGCCGGUCUCAGUUCGGAUUGCAGGCUGCAACUCGCCUGCAUGAAGUCGGAAUUGCUAGUAAUCGCGGAUCAGCAUGCCGCGGU